GUUGCUGGAGGUAUCAGAAGUGCGAAUGCUGACAUAAGUAACGAUAAAGCGGGUGAAAAGCCCGCUCGCCGGAAGACCAAGGGUUCCUGUCCAACGUUAAUCGGGGCAGGGUGAGUCGACCCCUAAGGCGAGGCCGAAAGGCGUAGUCGAUGGGAAACAGGUUAAUAUUCCUGUACUUGGUGUUACUGCGAAGGGGGGACGGAGAAGGCUAUGUUGGCCGGGCGACGGUUGUCCCGGUUUAAGCGUGUAGGCUGGUUUUCCAGGCAAAUCCGGAAAACCAAGGCUGAGGCG
rnacentral:rRNA from 1 species